CAAAUCCUUCAUUCCUUAUUAUUUUUCAAAAUCUCCAAAAACAUUAGUUUGUUGAGCCUCAUUAGAUUUGCUCUAAUCCAAUCCAUUGCAUGCAUGGUCUCAUCCCUCAACCAUCAAUAAUCGACCAAAUUGUGUUGAGAAGAAGAUAAGCAACAACAAGGAAAAUCUCUAAAAUAGUUGGAGCAAGGAAGAAAGUUGGGAAGUAGAUAGCUACCCCAAAUCAACUCGAAUCAAAGGAAAAACUUCCAUAGAAAGUAAAUUUGAUGUUUUCCCUCAGACGAUGCUAGACUUCAUUCUACAUACACAGGAAGAAUAGUGAUAACUAGUAGGAAGGUUGAUGCAGUAUUCCUUGUGGGACUCACACAUGAGAGGAUCAACUACCACAUACCUUCAGGAUUGGUGCUUGUGGUGAGUGGAGCAUGAGCAAAUGUAGAGGGUGUUUCAGCUAGAGAAGACAUGGAGGCCACCGUGGGUGUGUCAACUCCCACAGUAGAAGCAGUAGGCGUGGUGUUUGGACCAAGGGCUAAUGCCAAUAGGAAAAAUCGAGAUUCGGCGUGGGACUCACACAUGAGAGGAUCAACUACCAUGUACCUUCAGGAUUGGUACUCGUGGUAAGUGGAGCAUGAGCGAAUGUAGAGGAAGCUUCAGCUAGAGGAAGAUGGAUGCCACCGUGGGUGUGUCGACUCCCACAAUAGAAGCAAUGGUCGCGUUGUUUGGACCAAGGGCUAAUGCCGACAUGAAACGACAUUGCAGGACCGUCUAGGUUAUGGGAUGACUUUAUAUAUGACAUGCAACGUCAUCUCUUGUCGGUAUUCGACAGAUCCAUGUAUGGAUGACGAGGAGGAUGAGGUUACUUCAUUGAGAGAUAUUGCAUUAUACAUGACUUGUAUGGUAUGUAUAGGUUGCACUUGUUACUAUGGUUGUAAGUGGAUGAUUCGAUUAUGAUUUUUUGUUGUAUAGGGCUUUACGGGAUGACCUUAUAUAUGACAUAUAUUGACAAUUGAUUUUUAUUGGUGGAUCCAAUUUCCAUUUUUUUGACGCGAUAUUAUGGGGAUAACAUUCUUGGAGCAGCACUUAUGUGUAGGUGCCUGUCGAGAAUACUCUAGGGGUAUGAGAAAUGUUUUGAUAGGUCCAUAACUCUGGUGUAUUUUCUGGUUGUAUUCUUCUGAUUACUAUCUCAAAGUUAUCUUUGCUUUCUUGCA